GCAUAUCAAUAAGCGGAGGAAAAGAAAACAACUGUGAUUCCCUUAGUAAUGGCGAAUGAAACGGGAACAGCCCAUCGCGUAACUGCAGGUCAGCUUGGCCUCGCGGAAUGUCGCGUUUGGGAGAGUCUCAUCGGGAGCCGGACGGCCAGUCAAAGUCCAACUUGACAGUCGCCAUUGCCCAUAGAGGGUGAUAGGCCCGUAAGGCGGCCGUCUGUUUCCGCUGACUUUUCCCCAGAGUCGGGUUGCUUGGGAGUGCAGCCCAAAGCGCGAGGUAAACUCCUCGUAAGGCUAAAUAUCACCCAGAGACCGAUAGCAAACAAGUACCGUGAGGGAAGAUUGAAAAGAACUUUGAAGAGAGAGUUCAAUAGUACGUGAAACUGUGUGGUGGUAAACGGAGGGGUUCUCGAAGUUUCUGCGGGGAACUCAACCUUGGUGUCGGGCGGUCAGGGUGUGUCCGAUCAGCAAUGACGGUGCGCUUUGUCCGGCUUGGCUCUCGGGUGCAUUUCCCCCGUAGUUUACGGCAGGAACCGUUUGGCUCGGACCGAAGGCCUCGGGUGAAGUUGUCACUUCUGGUGGCAGCCCUGGGUGUCCUGGCUCUGCGCUCGACGGGUACGUGAGAGGACUCGUAUAGCGAGCAACGCUCUGUUGCGGUUCUCAUCUCUCUGCCGAGUAGGUCGGUGGCCCCUCCGACCCGUCUUGAAACACUGACC
rnacentral:rRNA from 1 species